UUGGAAAGAACGGAUUUCUGGCAUCCUGUUCUUUAAUGGUGAAUGGUCUUGUUUCAAGGAGUCGCCACCUAGUAUUAUGAUCACUAGGAACCCUAACUGGUCAACAGAGAUUCUAUGGUACGGGACUGGUUACGCAAAAGGGAAGAUAUUAUCACCCCUUAAACGUCCUGCCUGAGGCAGGCUGCAUUGCUGGUUUUGUCAUAAAUUGCUAACAUUUUGUUGGUUUAUGCUAUGAUGGUUUGCGUGUAAUAUUCCUGACUCUGGCGUCAGUGAAUAUUUAACUACGGAUAUUUCCAACUCUGGCGUUGGUAAAUAUCACGUAGCUAUAAAAACAAAAUAAA
rnacentral:lncRNA from 1 species